UUUUUAUUUUUAUUUUUUAUUUUUUUGGAUUUUUAGGCCCACACCUGUGGCAUAUGGAAGUACCAGGCUAGGGAUCAGAUAUACUACAGCCACAGCAAGGCAGGAUCCCAGUCGUGUUUGUGAUCUACACCACAGCUCGUGGGAGUGCCAGAUCCUUAACCCACUGAGUGAGUUCAGGGAUCAAACCUGGGUCCUCAUGAUACUAGUCAGAUUCAUUACUGCUGAGCCAUGAUGGGAACUUCCGAUUUUUUUAUAAAGAGAAAAAAUGCAUCAUCUCAAGGGACUGAUCAUUGGAAUAGACUAUGUUUAAACUGAUUUAGACAUUUUAAAAAUGUUGACAUUACUAUUAUUAUUAUUUUUACCAUUGACCAUUGGAUAAGAGGCUAAACAUUUAGAUGGAAGACUACAUGAAGAAAAAUUUUUUUCAUAUUUAUCUGUGUUAAAAUAUAAGUUAAAUAUCAUUAAAUACUCAGAAAAAUGUCCAGGUGAUCAAUGCAAGUUAAUACAUUUAUUUUCACUUAAUGAUUUAAUAGUGUCAAGAACCCAAUGAUAUAGAAAUGGUAUUAAUGUAAAUACCAAUUAAAUAUAAAAAGAAGUCAUGAAAAUUUUUACAUAUGAAAUGUGUAUAUGAUAUGAAUGACAAUAUGUGUGUUUUAUGUAUAUAUAUAUUUGAAAAAUUAUCACAUUAACAUAGUACACAGUUAAAAUUCAUGAUAGUUUUAGUCAGAUCAACACAGUCUAGGAAAUUAAAUAAGAAUAUUUUAAAUUUAGCAGUAUCUGACAGAAAAAUUACUUAAUUAUACUUACAUUAAUACUUGGUAUUACUUAAUAUUGAAAGAAUUAUUUAAUGUCUAAAAUUGACAGAAAGGUUCAUAUUCACUCCCUAGUUUUUCUUUCAGGAGUUAUCUUAUUUAGAUUUUAAUAAAGUGGUACUUGUCAUUUAUCUAGUUUUUUCAGUUGAAGGGUAUACUCCUCAUUCAUUACAGAAUUCCACACACACACACACACACAAACACAACUAAACCAAACAAAAGCAAAUCCUUUAGAUGGAUAAGGGUAUGGCCCUUAGAAUUAGGGGGAAAAAAAACAAACAUCAUAACUUCUCUAAGUGCCAAUUUAGCAAACCUAUAAUUACUUGUAAUACUUUUGAAAAAUGUAUAAUAAAUGGUUAUUAGUGAAUAUUAGAGCCUCUACCUUUGUCCCCAUAAACAUCUCUCUCUUUCUCAAACCAGCUCCUGUCAGGUCACAGCUCUGGGGAGCCAUUUCAUCAAGCCAAAAUGCUUUUUGCUUAAUUUUAUUACUCCAUGUGAACAGCAAAUCAACCCAGUAUUCUCUGCUCCUCUUACUUUAUCCUCCAUUUCUUACAUCUUCCAUUCCUUUUUCACAAACAUGACAACACCCCUUGCAGAAGAGAAUGUGUUUGCCACCUCCAAAAUCCACAUGUAGAGUCCUCACCCUCUGGUGAUGGUGUAAGGAUGUGGGGGCUUUGAGAGCUGAUUAGGUCAUGAGGGUAGAGCCCCUGCUGAAUGGUGUUAGUGCCUUUACAAAGGAGAUCCCAGGAAGUUCCCUCACCCCUUCCCCUAUGUAAGGACAGAGUGAGAAGACAGCUGCCUAGGAAGCAGACAGUUUUCAGACUUUGAUUUUGGACUUCCCAGCUUCCAGAACUGUGAGACAUCUACGUGGACUGUAAGCCACCCAGUGUAUGGUAUUUUUGUUACAACAGCCCAACCUGACUGAGACGUUCCCUCUUCCCCCAUCACAAUGGCCCUCCUUCAUUGCUUUGGGGUUCUUCCCUCAACCUGGCUCCUGCUUAACCAUCUUAAGGUCUACUUCAACCAGUCCUUGGAGGAAACACACAGUCCUCAGCACAUAAGAAUCAGUAACAUUAACUGUAACUGUUAACACUGCUACUCAUCGCCCAUCCCCUGUACAUGAGCCAACUUCCACCCUGCCUGUCAAGUGGGGUUCAUCCUUCCUUCAAAGAUUCUUUAAAUUCUCAAAUAUCUCAUCCACUGUCCAAAUAGUCACAUUCACUAAUGCUGAAAGGGAAGAGUGCUUGUCAGAGCUACAUGGAAUAAUCAUAUUAUGAAGUAGAAAAAAGGCAAAAACUGAGAUUUCUGGUAUAUAAGCAUGGCUGCUGGAGACAGAUUUUUUUCCUGUCUAUCCCAAAGUAAAUAUGAUACCUUUAUUGAUCAUAAAAGAUCAGUAAGAAAAAAAUCUUACCCCUCCUUUCUCUCCCUCAAAGUAUAAUUUUCAUACAUACAUGGAGACAUAAUCUUCAGAGAGAAAAGAGGCUUAUGAGCAAGGUAUUUGGAAGUUGCAGGUGAAGAGUAGAAGGGGAAAAAGCACAAAGUAGACAGAGGUGCCAGAAGUGCCAAGUCUAAGAAAGUGCCAGCACAAAUGUCCACAGACCUGUGUACACAAGGGAGGCUCAGGGGGCUGUACAUCCAUGUUUUGGUAAUUGUGAAGGAAACUCAGUGAGCAGGAGCACUGGCUACAGAACUGCCUCUGAUUCAGAAGAGGCUGGGCAACCCCGAGAAUUACACUGAGAAGCCAUACUUUCAGGAAACAGUACUCAGCAGAGAAAAAAAGAAUCUUCAGAUUGUGAAAAAUCAUAAAAGCUGGAUGAAUAUCUGGCCAUUUCAGGAAUCACCCCAUCACAGGAACCACUUGAGUAGUAGGUUCAUGAAUAUUCAAUACCUUUUCAUCUGAUUAUUAAUAAUAAUGAAGAUUGAGACAAACCAGUGUAAAAAGAAGGGUGGGGAAGCACAGUAAGUUUAUAAAAUUGAUUUAAUUAAGAAAAAUAGUAUAUUACUUUUAAUAAAAAUUCCAUAAAUAUUUUAUUGCCAAAAUCCAUCCAAAUAUUCGUAAAUUGCUAUUUACUGAACAUGAUAAAAGAUAUCUAGCUCACUUUUAAAUCUAAUCUCAUGAUUAAUAGUGAAAUCUUAGAGGAAUCACUCUGAAAAACAGGAACUAGAUAAGGACUUCUCUCUCCAGUAUCACUUAAUAUUUUACAGGAAUUACUGGCCAAGCCAAUUAUGAAUAAAAUGUAUAAACUGUGAAAAAGAAAAGCUAAACAUGUAUCAGUAUUUGCUCAUGAUAUGCUCUCAUAACAGAAAGUCAAAGAAAAUCAACUGGGAAAAAAAUGCUACUGCAAAGUAAAAAAAAGAAAUCAAUAAGAUAAUAGGAACUAAAUUAUUACAAAGGGGAGUUCCUAUUGUGGCUCAGCAGAAACACAUCUGACUAGUAUCCAUGAGGAUGCAAGUUUGAUCUCCGGCCUCAGUCAGUGAGUUAAGGAUCUGGCAUUGCCGUGAGCUGCAGUGUAGGUUGCAGAGGCGGCUGGGAUCCCACAUUGCUGUGGCUGUGUUGUAGGCCAGCAGCCAUUGCUCUGAUUCAAGCCCUAGCCUGGGAACUUCCAUAUGCCAUGUGCGCAGAC
rnacentral:lncRNA from 1 species